rnacentral:rRNA from 1 species
UCCGUAGGUGAACCUGCGGAAGGAUCAUUACUGAGUUGUCGAAACGAGUUGUUGCUGGCCCUCCAAACGGGGGGCAUGUGCACACUCUGUUCACACAUCCACUCACACCUGUGCACCCUCUGUAGUUCUAUGGUCUGGAAGGUGCGUGCCGUCUUCCUCCUGUAGUUCUAUGUCUUUACACACACACCAUAGUGAAGUCUUACGGAAUGUGCGCAGCGUUUAACGCAAUAUAAUACAACUUUCAGCAACGGAUCUCUUGGCUCUCGCAUCGAUGAAGAACGCAGCGAAAUGCGAUAAGUAAUGUGAAUUGCAGAAUUCAGUGAAUCAUCGAAUCUUUGAACGCACCUUGCGCCCCUUGGCCAUUCCGAGGGGCAUGCCUGUUUGAGUAUCAUGAACACCUCAACCCUCACGGUUUGCCGUGAUGGGCUUGGACUUUGGGGGUUUUGCUGACCCUGUGGUUGGCUCCUCUCAAAUGAAUCAGCUUACCAGUGUUUGGUGGCGUCACGGGUGUGAUAACUGUCUACGCUCAUGAUCGUCUGCCAGGUGGCCUUCAGCGAUGAAGGUUUGCUGGAGCUUACAAACGUCUCCCCUUGGUGGAGACAGAUUUUUGAACGUUCGAUCUCAAAUCAGGUAGGGUUACCCGCUGAACUUAAGCAUAUCAAUAAGCGGAGGAAAAGAAACCAACCAAU